rnacentral:snRNA from 1 species
AGCUUUGUGCAGUGGCAGUAUCGUAGCCAGUGAGGUUUAUCCGAGGCACAAUUAUUGCUAAUUGAAAAGAAUUAUUAAUUUUUUAUUAUUUUUUGAUUUGACAGAAAGUGAGAGAGAAAAAAAAAGUGAGAAAGCAAGCCACCAGG